AGUCAAUAGAUACCCGGGUAGUCCACGCCGUAAACGAUGAGUACUAGGUGUAGGAGGUAUCGACUCCUCCUGUGCCGCAGUUAAACACAAUAAGUACUCCGCCUGGGAAGUACGGUCGCAAGAUUAAAACUCAAAGGAAUUGACGGGGGCCCGCACAAGCAGCGGAGCAUGUGGUUUAAUUCGAAGCAACGCGAAGAACCUUACCUAGACUUGACAUCUCCUGAAUAGUGUAGAGAUACAUGAAGCCCUUCGGGUCGAGGAAGACAGGUGGUGCAUGGUUGUCGUCAGCUCGUGUCGUGAGAUGUUGGGUUAAGUCCCGCAACGAGCGCAACCCUUAUUACUAGUUGCUACCAUUAAGUUGAGCACUCUAGUGAGACUGCCCGGGUUAA
rnacentral:rRNA from 1 species